rnacentral:rRNA from 1 species
UACAGAGGGUGCGAGCGUUAAUCGGAAUUACUGGGCGUAAAGGGCGCGUAGGCGGAGUAUUAAGUUAGAUGUGAAAUCCCUGGGCUUAACCUGGGAAUGGCAUUUAAUACUGAUAAUCUAGAGUAGAGUAGAGGGAAGUGGAAUUUCCGGUGUAGCGGUGAAAUGCGUAGAGAUCGGAAAGAACACCAGUGGCGAAGGCGGCUUCCUGGACUCAUACUGACGCUGAGGCGCGAAAGCGUGGGGAGCAAACAGG